UUUAAUAACGGCGAGUGAAGCGGGAAGAGCUCAAAUUUGUAAUCUGGCACUUUCAGUGUCCGAGUUGUAAUCUCGAGAAGUAUUUUCCGCGCCGGACCGCAUACAAGUCUGUUGGAAUACAGCGUCAUAGUGGUGAGAACCCCGUAACUGAUGCGGAUGCCCGGUGCUUUGUGAUAUACUUUCGAAGAGUCGAGUUGUUUGGGAAUGCAGCUCAAAUUGGGUGGUAAAUUCCAUCUAAAGCUAAAUAUUGGAGCAAGACCGAUAGCGAACAAGUACCGUGAGGGAAAGAUGAAAAGCACUUUGGAAAGAGAGUUAACAGUACGUGAAAUUGUUGGAAGGGAAACGCUUGAAGUCAGACUUGCUAUUCGGAGUUCAGCCGCAAGGUGUAUUCUUCGAUUUGCAGGCCAGCAUCAGUUUUUGGGGGUGGAAAAUCGUGGUUUGAAGGUAGCAGUUUCGGCUGUGUUAUAGCUUUCCACUGGAUUCAUCUUCGGGGACUGAGGAACGCAGUACGCUUUUUGCAAGGCUCUCGAGCUUUUCGUACUUAGGAUGCUGGUGGAAUGGCU
rnacentral:rRNA from 1 species